rnacentral:rRNA from 1 species
AAUGGCCGAAAGGCUGACGCAGCGACGCCGCGUGGAGGAUGACGCCCUUCGGGGUGUAAACUCCUGUUGCCCGGGACGAAUGCCUGUUUCGACAGGAGUGACGGUACCGGGUGAGGAAGCACCGGCUAACUCUGUGCCAGCAGCCGCGGUAAUACAGAGGGUGCGAGCGUUGUCCGGAAUCACUGGGCGUAAAGGGCGCGUAGGCGGUCGGGUAAGCGUGUGGUGAAAGUCCGGGGCUCAACCCCGGAUCGGCCAUGCGAACUGUCCGACUGGAGCACGGUAGAGGCACAUGGAAUUCCGGGUGUAGCGGUGGAAUGCGUAGAGAUCCGGAAGAACACCGGUGGCGAAGGCGGUGUGCUGGGCCGUAGCUGACGCUGAGGCGCGACUGCGUGGGGAGCAAA